rnacentral:rRNA from 1 species
GACGAACGCUGGCGGCGUGCUUGACACAUGCAAGUCGAACGGAAAGGCCUGCUUUCCCUUGUGGAUUGCGGGUACUCGAGUGGCGAACGGGUGAGUAACACGUGAGUGAUCUGCUCCCAACUUGGGUAUAAGCCUGGGAAACUGGGUCUAAUUCCCGAUAGGACUGCAGGGUGGUGCCUGUGGUGGAAAACGAUUUUCUAGUGGUUGGGGAUGAGCUCGCGGCCUAUCAGCUUGUUGGUGGGGUAAUGGCCUACCAAGGCGGCGACGGGUAGCCGGCCUGAGGGGGUGGACGGCCACAUUGGGACUGAGAUACGGCCCAGACUCCUACGGGAGGCAGCAGUGGGGAAUAUUGCACAAUGGGCGGAAGCCUGAUGCAGCGACGCCGCGUGGGGGAUGACGGCCUUCGGGUUGUAAACUCCUUUCGACCGCGAGGAAGCCACCUGGUUGGAAGGGUGGUGACGGUAGUGGUAGAAGAAGCACCGGCUAACUACGUG